UUGACGGGGGCCCGCACAAGCGGCGGAGCAUGUGGCUUAAUUCGAUGCAACGCGAAGAACCUUACCAGGGCUUGACAUGCAGAGAAAUCCUGUAGAGAUAUGGGGUCCGUCGGGGAUCUGCACAGGUGGUGCAUGGCUGUCGUCAGCUCGUGUCGUGAGAUGUUGGGUUAAGUCCCGCAACGAGCGCAACCCUUGUCCUAUGUUGCCAGCGCGUAAUGUCGGGGACUCAUAGGAGACUGCCGG
rnacentral:rRNA from 1 species